CUGGUCUCAGAAGGAUUUUCUCAUUUUCUGCCCUUUCUGUUUGGCCGGCAGGGGAAAUGAUCCUGGUCUCCGUUUUGGAAAGAUCUUCAUUAACCUCCGUUGGUCUUGGGAACUGCGCUGCAGCCCUGCAGGUAAGAUGUGUCAAUUCCACACUCUUUAUCACUCCCAGCCCAAACAACCAAGGGCUGCAUGUGUGUCUGACCCUGACAGUGGGGGUUAAGGUGACGGGAUCUCAGAAGUCAGAACUGGAGACUGCAAGGGCCUCUCUGUACAUUGAUAAGCAGGGUACAGCUCGCUGUUUGUAGGUUGCUUUAGUUCAGUGUGGUUUUGUUCCAAUGUCCAAGCCUUGCCGAGACUCUUUCCCCAUUGCAUGUCUCCGGGAGCUGCUGAGUGUUGCAAUGCGAUAGCCUUCACCCCCCAUUGCAGCCAGGGCGUUGCUCUAAUCCCAAAUUGCAACAGGGCCCCCCACACACACUCCAAAUGUCCCAGUUUAGGGACGCCCUUUGUAUUCUUUGCUUGAACCAGAGCCAUCUUUCCCAUAGGGCUUAGUGGUGCAUCGCGCCAGGGUGCCGGCCUUUCAGGGGCACCCAGCGAGUGGGGGAGCUGCGCGGCUUUGCCAGUGGCCUCCCCUUUCCCUCCAUGCCCACCAUCUGCACCCCAUCAACCAUAUGGCUGGCGGGCGUGCAUCUUCCUUCCCAAGCCUCCAUGGGAGGAGAGCGAUCCCUGCAGAGAGCCAGUGUGGUGUAGUGGUUAAGAGCGGUAGUCUCGUAAUCUGGUGAACCGGGUUCGCUUCCCCGCUCCUCCACCUGCAGCUGCUGG
rnacentral:lncRNA from 1 species